rnacentral:rRNA from 1 species
UAGGGAAUCUUCGGCAAUGGACGGAAGUCUGACCGAGCAACGCCGCGUGAGUGAAGAAGGUUUUCGGAUCGUAAAGCUCUGUUGUAAGAGAAGAACGAGUGUGAGAGUGGAAAGUUCACACUGUGACGGUAUCUUACCAGAAAGGGACGGCUAACUACGUGCCAGCAGCCGCGGUAAUACGUAGGUCCCGAGCGUUGUCCGGAUUUAUUGGGCGUAAAGCGAGCGCAGGCGGUUAGAUAAGUCUGAAGUUAAAGGCUGUGGCUUAACCAUAGUACGCUUUGGAAACUGUUUAACUUGAGUGCAAGAGGGGAGAGUGGAAUUCCAUGUGUAGUGGUGAAAUGCGUAGAUAUAUGGAGGAACACCGGUGGCGAAAGCGGCUCUCUGGCUUGUAACUGACGCUGAGGCUCGAAAGCGUGGGGAGCAAACAGGAUUAGAUACCCUGGUAGUCCACGCCGUAAACGAUGAGUGCUAGGUGUUAGACCCUUUCCGGGGUUUAGUGCCGCAGCUAACGCAUUAAGCACUCCGCCUGGGGAGUACGACCGCAAGGUUGAAACUCAAAUGAAUUGAC